UCUAUUUCUUACGUUAUUUGAAUAGUAAGAAAUCAAUGCUAGAAGCUUUAUUUGUAUUUUGGCAGUUUACGUAAAACAAACACAGGACUUAAAUUUUUAAAUAAUUAUACACAUGUGCGUAUGUUGGAAGAUUAACCCGUUUCAAAACGUUAGUUAUUUUAUUGGUAUUAAAGCAAAAGUUAGCAAAAGACAAAAGACGAAUGUGAGAUCUGGGUUAAUAGUUAAAUGAGCAUCAAAAUUGUGCGUCGAGUUUUUGGAGCAUUUCGAAAAAAAAGAAAAUCCUAUGCAAUAGUUGAACAUCGGGUUUUGGAAGAUGCAUCUCAUUUUGAAUAUGGAUUGUUAUUUAUAGAACGAUGUGAGCAAAUUCACGAAUGCUCAAAUGUGCUUUUCCAGGUUCAAAAUAUUUACGUUGCAAAAAAUGAAAUUAUUCAAAGUUACGAGUUAAAACGUCGCAACGCUGUCUGCGAAUUAGAAAUAGAAGAAAGAUAUGGUUUAAUUUCAGUACUUAGAAGAUAUGUUCAGAAUAACAUGUUAAAAGAACUCGGAAUAGUUUAGAGGUCAAAAUGGUUUUUUUAAUUGAUGUCAUUUUAAGUGUGAGCCCGUAGAGACAAUACUCUCCAUAAACAUUGUGACAAUUGAAGAAAAAACAAAAUAUUUCCAAUUUUUUAUAAAAAUUACGAUAUUAGAUAUUUGUCAAAAAUUUUUGUAA